AUGAAUUUUGGGUCUUCUUCUUCCUCAUAACACCAAACAGAGAGAGCACACCAAACAGAGAGCACGAAAGGGGUUGCGAUUUUAGGGUUUUCAAGGUUGUGAUUUUGGUGGUGAGAUUUUAGAGAGUACUUUGCAUCAAAACUUCUAUAUCUAUCAAUCACACAUUUGAGAUGGUUAGGUCACUAUUAUAGGGGAAAUGCUGCCCGAUAUUAUUUAGGAUAAUAAACGAUUAGUUGAGAACGGGCAUUACUUGAUUGAACAUGCAAGUCCCAGGCAUUACUUGAGAACGGUAUUAUUAAUUAAAAUUUACAAAUUAUUUUUGAAACUAUAAAUGUAAUCAAAUAAUUAAUUAAUAUAUUUUACUUUAUAUUUCUUGCAGCUAACAAGUACAUCAUAUACAGAGGCACAAAUUGAUGAGUUGCGACAAGAAUGGGCGACAUAUAUGUUGCCGAUAAUCCAAAGUUACCGACCUCGUUGAUAGGUUUUUUUUUAAUUUUUUAACUCUUUCUUCAUACACAAUGCAAUAUUUGUUCAUUUUGAAUAUUUCUAACAAAUAUUGUAUUUCUUGUAUAUAUCUAACAAAUAUAUUUUUUUAUUUCAAUUUAAAUUAAUA